rnacentral:rRNA from 1 species
AUACAGGUGGUGCAUGGUUGUCGUCAGCUCGUGUCGUGAGAUGUUGGGUUAAGUCCCGCAACGAGCGCAACCCCUGUCGUUAGUUGCCAGCAGUGAGAUGGGGAGUCUAACGAGACUGCCAGUGACAAACUGGAGGAAGGUGGGGAUGACGUCAAAUCAUCAUGCCCCUUAUGACCUGGGCUACACACGUGCUACAAUGGUUGGUACAAAGAGAAGCGAAGCGGUGACGUGGAGCAAACCUCAUAAAGCCAAUCUCAGUUCGGAUUGUAGGCUGCAACUCGCCUACAUGAAGUUGGAAUCGCUAGUAAUCGCGAAUCAGAAUGUCGCGGUGAAUACGUUCCCGGGUCUUGUACACACCGCCCGUCACACCACGAGAGUUUACAACACCCGAAGUCAGUGGCCUAACCGCAAGGAGGGAGCUGCCUAAGGUGGGGUAGAUGAUUGGGGUGAAGUCGUGACAAGGUAACCGUAAGGGCGAA